rnacentral:rRNA from 1 species
ACGAGAAACGGUCCUUAGCUUGGCUAGAUGCAGUCUAAGUGGCGGACGGGUGAGUAAUGGUAUAGCUAAUGGUGCCCCUNGGAGAGGGAUAACAGUUAGAAAUGACNNGCUAAUACCUCAUACUCCUUAUGCCUUAAUGGUAUAAGGGAAAUGUUUUUUCGCCAAGGGAUCAGGCUAUAUGGUAUCAGCUAGUUGGUGAGGUAACGGCUCACCAAGGCAAUGACGCCUAACUGGUCUGAGAGGAUGAUCAGUCACACUGGAACUGAGACACGGUCCAAACUCCUACGGGAGGCAGCAGUGGGGAAUAUUACACAAUGGAGGAAACUCUGAUGUAGCAACGCCGCGUGGAGGAUGACACAUUUCGGUGCGUAAACUCCUUUUAUAUGGGAAGAUAAUGACGGUACCAUAUGAAUAAGCACCGGCUAACUCCGUGC